AGAUGAGUGACAGAGGGGUUUAUCGUAGUAGGCGAAGAGCCUACUGAGCUGAGAGAUGCUUCGUGAGUUCGAAUCUCACCUCAUCAUA
rnacentral:tRNA from 1 species